GACGAUGGGGAUGCGUCUGAUUAGGCAGCAGGCGGGGCAACGGCCCACCUGGCCGACGAUCAGUAGGGGUUCUGAGAGGAAGGUCCCCCCACAUUGGAACUGAGACACGGUCCAAACUCCUACGGGAGGCAGCAGUGAGGAAUAUUGGUCAAUGGGCGCGAGCCUGAACCAGCCAAGUAGCGUGAGGGAUGACUGCCCGUACGGGUUGUAAACCUCUUUUGUUCGGGAAUAAAGUGCGGCACGCGUGCCGUUUUGUAUGUACCGUUCGAAUAAGGACCGGCUAAUUCCGUGCC
rnacentral:rRNA from 1 species